rnacentral:rRNA from 1 species
GACUUGCAUAUGGUGUUCAUUGACUUGGAGAAGGCCUAUGAUAAGAUACCGCGGAAUGUCAUGUGGUGGGCCUUGGAGAAACACAAAGUCCCAGCAAAGUACAUUACCCUCAUCAAGGACAUGUACAAUAAUGUUGUGACAAGUGUUCGAACAAGUGAUGUCGACACCGAUGACUUCCCGAUUAAGAUAGGACUGCACCAGGGGUCAGCUUUGAGCCCUUAUCUUUUUGCAUUGGUGAUGGAUGAGGUCACAAGGGGUAUACAAGGAGAUAUCCCAUGGUGUAUGCUCUUUGCGGAUGUUGUGGUGCUAGUUGACGAUAGUCGAACGGGGGUAAAUAGGAAGUUAGAGUUAUGGAGACAAACCUUGGAAUCGAAAGGGUUUAGGCUUAGUAGAACUAAAACCGAGUACAUGAUGUGCGGUUUCAGUACUACUAGCUGUGAGGAGGAGGAGGUUAGCCUUGAUGGCCAGGUGGUACCUCGGAAGGACACCUUUCGGUAUUUGGGGUCAAUGUUGCAGGAGGAUGGGGGUAUUGAUGAAGAUGUGAACCAUCGAAUCAAAGCCGGAUGGAUGAAGUGGCGCCAAGCUUCUGGCAUUCUCUUAGACAAGAGAGUGCCACAAAAGCUAAAAGGCAAGUUCUACAGGACGGCGGUUCGACCCGCAAUGUUAUAUGGCGCGGAGUGUUGGCCGACUAAAAGGCGACAUGUUCAACAGUUAGGUGUGGCGGAGAUGCGUAUGUUGAGAUGGAUGUGUGGCCACACGAGGAAGGAUCGAGUCCGGAAUGAUGAUAUACGAGAUAGAGUUGGGGUAGCACCAAUUGAGGAGAAGCUUGUCCAACAUCGUUUAAGAUGGUUUGGGCAUAUUCAGCGCAGGCCUCCAGAAGCUCCAGUGCAUAGCGGACGGCUAAAGCGUGCGGAGAAUGUCAAGAGAGGGCGGGGUCGACCGAUUUUGACAUUGGAGGAGUCCGUUAAGAGAGACCUGAAGGAUUGGAGUAUCGACAAAGAGCUAGCUAUGGACAGGGGUGCGUGGAAGCUUGCUAUC